rnacentral:rRNA from 1 species
UACAGAGGUGGCAAGCGUUGUUCGGAAUUACUGGGCGUAAAGGGCGCGUAGGCGGUUCGUUAAGUCCUGUGUGAAAUCCCCCGGCUCAACUGGGGAACUGCACAGGAAACUAGCGGGCUUGAAUUCGGGAGAGGGAUGCGGAAUUCCAGGUGUAGCGGUGAAAUGCGUAGAUAUCUGGAGGAACACCGGUGGCGAAGGCGGCAUCCUGGACCGAGAUUGACGCUGAGGCGCGAAAGCCAGGGGAGCAAACGGG